rnacentral:lncRNA from 10 species
UGAUCCUACAGGCAAUUCAGAAAUCCUCAGGCUGUUCCUCCCAUUACAAGCCAAGAGUAUAAGAGCCCAGAGUCACUACAGAGAGCCUCUGUUGGGGCAAUGCCCAGUGGAGCCAUGGGUGCAGGGCUGCCCCUGCAACCCUAGACUGAUAAAACCAAUGGGAAGUGAUUCCAGCACCAGAGAGCCUCAGGCAUGUGACCCAAGGCACACAGCUGCUGAGGAGUUGAAGCCACCACUGAGAACUGCAUGAGGGCAGGGCCCAGGCACAGAGCUGCUGCAGGGCUGCGGGUGCCCAAACCCUUGGGGCAGGGCUGCAGCUGGAGUGCAUCCAGAAGAUUAUUUUCAAAAACAAAAUUGAACCCUUCCAAGGCCCCAAAGUAAGGAAAUAAACGUUACAGCAAAGAGGACACAUAGGGGACCAGCACUGAACAAAGGUUUCAAAACAUACCUGGAAGACUGAAGAGGUUGGAAGCCCAAUGACAUUUAAAUCAGAGGGAGGAAAGAGUAGCGGGUUGGGGGCAGCAGCAACGGAGAGUGCAGAGAGCUCCUGCCAAACGGAACCACAGAGGCCUGCCUUGGACAGGUGCUGUGACUGCCCGGUCAGCAACCCGCAUUCCCUUUCAUCGCCCUGCCUCCACAGACAAGCACCUGGAGAUAUAACUGAAAAGGCCUAUCUCCAGGGAGCAAUGUAUUAGUUACAUGGAUGUAGCCCAGAGGGAAUUUUUGGAAAUUUGGAGAACUGCAUUCUAGAGACUCAAAACUGUGACUGCUGAGUGGACCAUCUAUGGGCAAGAGCAGAAUCACUGAAUACUGGAGGAGGGUUGCAAGGUGGCCUGGUUUCUGUGGCAGUGAUCUGGUAGAGUUUAUAAUUGUUUGUAGUUGAGAAAAUUGGACUAGAAUGAAGCCUUGUGGAAUCCAAGAAGAAUUCGUUAUUCUUUAGCUGCUUUCAUCUCCAACUGUGUUAGGCAUCCUCCUAAGAUGGUCCCCAAGAUGGCAGACCCCUGGAAUCAUCUGUACAAUUUCCUCUCUUUUCACAGGCUUUUAUGAGUUGAUUUUUCAGCGAACCUUCAAGGGGCUAAGGGGAACAUUACCCUUGGCCACUAUACUGCCAACAACCUAUGAGCCUGGAAGAGGAUCCCAAGUCUCAGAUGAAACCAGGACCUCAGCCAACACCUUGAUUUCAGCCUCAUGAGAUCCUAAGCAGAGGGUACAGUAAAGCCACAUAUGGUGCCUAACCAAAAAAACUAUGAGAUAAUAAAGAUGUGUUUUGGAAGCUGCUAAACUGGUGUUGAUUUGUUACAUAGCAAUUAAAAACUAAUAUACAAACACUACGGUAUUUGUUUUCUUCAUUAAUUAAACAUAACGUAUCCUCACUUCUGUAUCCAUCAGUAAGGCAAGGUUCUGUGAUAAAGACCUGCCUGCAUUGUACGUCUGUAUGGUUCCUUUCCCUAUCCCAAAUCUUAGAUGCAUAUUUUGAUUGAUGAUGAUUGUCCUUGAUCUAAGAGAUGAUGUGAUAUCCUGCUACCCCAUUCUUCAACCCCCUCAGACACUGGGAUCAUUGUAGAAUGAUUCAUAACAUUCCCUGGGACCCCAACACAUGGUGUUCUAACGUUUCUCAGUCUACAAUACAGUAGUCCCUAAAUCACAUGACAACUUUUCCUAUUGUAGAAAAAGUGCACGCAGAGGCGAUGUGGUGGCUGAUCUGCGGCAGCAGAUGAGGUCCUGUAUUCUGCUCCUGCCCCACACUGACCAGAUGCCCAUUUAGACAAGGUUUCCCCUGCUUCCACUCAUAGACACAGUUAUCUCUCAGACUCAAGGUGGCCUCCAAGUCCUUAGCAUCCACUUCUUGUAGAAGCAGUGCCUUCCCCUUUGCAGGCCAGUGACUUUUUUUAGAUUCUCAAACACAAAGUGACUGAUCAUUCACCUUUUCCUUGGCCUGAUUGACUAUAGGAAUACCAGAAUGGUGGUGGAGAGGGGUAAGGAGUUGGUGUAAUGUUUCACACCUCAAAGGUAUUCACCAACACUAGGUCACAAGCUCUAUCUCUCUCUCUUUCUCACACACACACACACACACACACACACACACACACAUUCUCUGGAAGGUCAUCUCAUCACAGAUUUACAGCCCUGUAAUCACCCUUGAAUGAACCUCUUCGGGAGGUGCUUGGGAAAGCAAGGAGAGAAGACAGCUUGCUCAUUCUGUCACAUGCAUUAUUGGAUUUGGGCAAUUAUUUUAAUCCCCAUAGUAGAAACUUGCUCAUAUUUCCAUAUUGGUACAAACUCUUCAGUCUACUUAAGUGGAUAUCCAAGGAACUAUUUAAUUUCCAACUUAAUAGUAUCAUGGGGAAAAAAGACAAUAACAAAACAAUUUUGAGUCAAAUAAAUGGUCUCAUAUGAAUGGCAUCUGCAAUACCUUCAACAACUAGGCAGAAGAUAUAUGAUGCUAUCAUAGUUUUCUUUUAAAAAAUCACCAAAGCAGUUUCAUCUUUAACACCCUACCUAAGAUUUCUAAAUGAUAGCCUAUCAAAUUAUAUCCCCAUUAGGUAUAUAAUAGCUCCUUUCUUACCUUAGAUAAAUAUAUUCUUGUUUCACAAGUUUUUUUAAAAGGCUUUGCUUGAAAUUAAAAUCUGACCAACAAACUAGAGCAGAGAUAAUUCCUCAGUGUCAAUAGGCUUCCUUGGAAACUUACCCACAUAUAACCAAUGCAGCUUCACUCGUGUAUAGAAUAUACUGACAGAGAAAAAGAAAAUACAGAUGACAUUACAAUCAUAAACACCCUAUUUCCUGUUUUUAAAAAAACAUGUCUUCAGAAGUGCUUUUUUUACAAAAAUUUAUUUUAAGUUCUGGGAUACACGUGCAGAAUGUGCAGAUUUGUUCCAUAGGUAUACAUGUGCCAUGGUGGUUUGCUGCACCCAUCAACCUGUCAUCUAGGUUUUAAGCCACGCAUAGAUUAGGUGUUUGUCCUAAUGCUCUCCCUCCCCUUUCCCCCAACCCCCGACAGGCCCCAGUGUGUGAUGUUCUCCUCCCUGUGUUCAUAUGUUCUCAUUGUUCAACUCCCACUUCUGAGUGAGAACAUGUGGUGUUUGGUUUUCUGUUUCUGUGUUAGUUUGCUGAGAAUGAUGGCUUCCAGCUUCAUCCAUGUCCCUUCAAAGGACAUGAACUCAUCCUUUUUUAUGGCUGCAUAGUAUUCCAUGGUGUGCAUGUGCCACAUUUUCGUUAUCCAAUCUGUCAUUGACGGGCAUUUGGGUUGGUUCCAGGUCUUUGCUAUUGUAAAUAGUGCUGCAAUAAAAAUACAUGCACAUGUGUCUUUAUAGUAGAGUAAUUUAUAUUCCUUUGGGUAUAUACCAAGUAAUGGGAUUGCUGGGUCAAAUGGUAUUUCUGGUUCUAUAUCCUUGGGGAAUCGCCACACUGUCUUCCACAAUGGUUGAACUAAUUUACACUCCCACCAACAGUGUAAAAGUGUUCCUAUUUCUCCACAGCCUCGCUAGCAGCUGUUGUUUCCUGACUUUUUAAUAAUCACCAUUCUAACUGGCAUGAGAUGGUAUCUCAUUGUGGUUUUGAUUUGCAUUUCUCUAAUGACCAGUGAUGAUGAGCUUUUUUCAUUUGUUUGUUGGCCACAUAAAUGUCUUCUUUUGAGAAGUGCCUGUUCAUAUCCUUCACCCAAUUUUUGAUGGGAUUUCUCAUUUGUUCUUUUUUUCCUGUAAAUUUGUUUAAGUUCCUUGUAGAUUCUGGAUAUUAGACCUUUAUCAGUUGGGUAGACUGCAAAAAUUUUCUCCCAUUCUGUAGGUUGCCUGUUCACUUUAAUGAUAGUUUCUUUUGCUGUGCAGAAGCUCUUUAGUUUAUUUAGAUCCCAUUUGUUAAUUUUGGCUUUUGUCACAAUUGCUUUUUGUGUUUUAGUCAUGAAGUCUUUCCCCAUGCCUAUGUCCUAAAUGGUAUUGCCUAGGUUUUCUUCUAGGGUUUUUAUGGUUUUGGGUUUUACAAUUAAUUCUUUAAUCCAUCCUGAGUUAAUUUUUGUAUAAGGUGUAAGGAAGGGGUCCAGGUUCAGUUUUCUGCAUAUGACUAGCCAGUUUUCCAAACACCAUUUAUUAAAUAAGGAAUACUUUCCCCAUUGCUUGUUUUUGUCAGGUUCGCCGAAGAUUGGAUGGUUGUAGAUGUGUGGUGUUAUUUCUGAGGUCUCUGUUCUGUUCCAUUGUUCUAUAUAUCUGUGUUGGUACCAGUACCAUGCUGUUUUGGCUACUGUAGCCUUGUAGUAUAGCAUGAGGUCAGGUAGCAUGAUGCCUCCAGCUUUGUUAUUUUUGCUUAGGAUUGUCUUGGCUAAACUGACUCUUUUUCGGCUCCAUAUGAAAUUUAAAGUAGCUUUUUUCUAAUUCUGCAAAGAAAGUCGAUGGUAGCUUGAUGGGAAUAGCAUUGAAUCUAUAAAUUACUUUGAGCAGUAUGGCCAUUUUCAUGAUAUUGAUUCUUUCUAUCCAUGAAUAUGGAAUUUUUUUCCAUUUGUUUGUGUGCUCUCUUAUUUCCUUGAGCAGUGAUUUGUAGUUCUCCUUGAAAAGGUCACUCAUGUCCCUUGUAAGUUGUAUUCCUACAUAUUAUAUUCUCUUUGUAGCAAUUUUGACGUGAGUUCACUCAAAAUUUGGCUCUCUGCUUGUCUACUAUUGGUGUAUAGGAAUGCUUGUCAUUUUUGCACAUUGAUUUUUUAUCCUGAGACUUUGCUAAAGUUGCUUAUCAGCUUAAGGAGUUUUGGGGCUGAGACAAUAGGGUUUUCUAAAUAUACUAUCAUGUCAUCUGCAAAGAGAGACAAUUUGACUUCCUGUCUUCCUGUUUGAAUACGCUUUAUUUCUUUCUCUUGCCUGAUUGCCCUGGCCAGAACUUCCAAUAUUAUGUUGAAUAAGAGUGGUGAGAGAGGGCAUCCUUGUCUUCUGCUGGUUUUCAAAGGGAAUGCUUCCAGCUUUUGCCCAUUCAGUAUGAUAUAGGCUGUGGGUUUGUCAUAAAUAGCUCUUAUUAUUUUGAGAUACGUUCCAUCGAUACUUAGUUUAUUGAGAGUUUUUAGCAUGAAGGGAUGUUGAAUUUCAUCAAAGGCCUUUUCUGCAUCUAUGAGAUAAUCUUGUGGUUUUUGUCAUUGGUUCUGUUUAUGUGAUGCAUUAUGUUUACUGAUUAGCAUAUGUUGAACCAGCCUUGCAUCUCAGGGAUGAAGCCGACUUGAUCGUGGUGGAUAAGCUUUUUGAUGUGCUGCUCGAUUCAGUUUGCCAGUAUUUUACUGAGGAUUUUCACAUCAAUGUUCAUCAGGGAUAUUGGCCUGAAAUUUUCUUUUUUUGUUGCAUCUCUGCCAGGUUUUGGUAUCAGGAUGACGCUGGCCUCAUAAAAUGAGUUAGGGAGGAAUCUCUCUUUUUCUAUUGUUUGGAAUAGUUUCAGAAGGAAUGGUACAAGCUCCUCUUAGUACCUCUGGUAGAAUUUGGCUAUGAAUCCGUCUGGUACUGGGCUUUUUUGUUGUUGUUGGUGGUGGUGGUGGAGGUGGUAGGCUAUUAAUUACUGCCUCAAUUUCAGAACUUGUUACUGAUCUAUUCAAAGAUUCAACUUCUUCCUGAUUUAGUCUUUGGAGGUUGUGUGUGUCCAGGAAUUUAUCUAUUUCCUCUAGAUUUUCUAGUUUAUUUGCACAUAGGUGUUUAUAGUAUUCUCUGAUGGUAGUUUGUAUUUCUGUGGCAUCAGUGGUGAUAUCCCCUUUAUCAUUUUUUAUUGUGUAUAUUUGAUUCUUCUCUCUUUUCUUCUUUAUUAGUCUAGCUAGCAGUCUAACUAUUUUGUUAAUCUUUUCAAAUCCCCAGCUCCUGGAUUCAUUGAUUUUUUAGAAGGGUUUUUGUGUCUCUAUCUCCUUCAGUUCUGCUCUGAUCUUAGUUAUUUCUUGUACUCUGCUAGCUUUUGAAUUUGUUUGCUCUUGCUUCUCUAGUUCUUUUAAUUGUGAUGUUACGGUGUCAAUUUCAGUUCUUUCCAGCUUUCUGAUGUGGGCAUUUAGUGCUAUAUAUUUCCCCCUUAACACUGGUUUAGCUGUGUCCCAGAGAUUCUGGUACAUUGUCUCUUUGUUCUCAUUAGUUUCAGAAAACUUCUUUAUUUCUGUCUUAAUUUUGUUAUUUACCCAGUAGUCAUUCAGGAGCAAGUUGUUUCAAUUUCCAUGUAGUUGUGCAGUUUUGACUGAGUUUCUUAAUCCUGAGUUCUAAUUUGAUUGCACUGUGGUCUGAGAGACUGUUAUGAUUUCCAUUCUUUUGCAUUUGCUAAGGAGUGUUUUACUUCCAAUUAUGUGGUCAAUUUUAUAAAGUGCUAUGUGGCACUAAGAAAAAUGUAUAUUGUGUUGAUUUGGGGUGGAGAGUUCUGUAGAUGUCUAUUAGGUCCACUUGGUCCAGAGCUGAGUUUGAGUCCUGAAUAUCCUUGUUAAUUUUUCUUCAUUAAUUAAUUGAUCUGUUCAUUGAUCUAAUAUUGACAGUGGGGUGUUAAAGUCCCCCAUUACAUUACAACUGUGUGGGAGUAUAAGUCUCUUUGUAG